rnacentral:rRNA from 1 species
GAUGAACGCUGGCGGCGUGCCUAAUACAUGCAAGUCGAGCUAACAGACGAGGAGCUUGCUCCUCUGACGUUAGCUGCGGACGGGUUAGUAACACGUGGAUAACCUACCUAUAAGACUUGGAUAACUUCGGGAAACCGGAUCUAAUACCGGAUAAUAUAUUGAACCGCAUGGUUCAAUAGUGAAAGACGGUUUUGCUGUCACUUAUUGAUGGAUCCGCGCCGCAUUAGCUAGUUGGUAAGGUAACGGCUUACCAAGGCAACGAUGCGUAGCCUACCUGUAAGGGAGAUCGGACCCACAGGAGAAGAGACACGGUCCAGACAACGACGGGAGGCAGAAGUAGGGAAUCUGCCGGAAUGGGAGAUAGCAUGACGAAGCAACGCCGCGAGAGUGAUGAAGGACUUCGGAUCGUAAAACACUGUUAUAAGGGAAGAAGAAAUGGGUAAAUAACGAUGAAUGUAUAGACGGUACAGAAGCAGAAAACCAAGGCCAAAUACGU